UACACUCCUGCGGGAGGCAGCAGUGGGGAAUAUUGGACAAUGGGCGCAAGCCUGAUCCAGCCAUGCCGCGUGAGUGAUGAAGGCCCUAGGGUUGUAAAGCUCUUUCACCGGUGAAGAUAAUGACGGUAACCGGAGAAGAAGCCCCGGCUAACUUCGUGCCAGCAGCCGCGGUAAUACGAAGGGGGCUAGCGUUGUUCGGAUUUACUGGGCGUAAAGCGCACGUAGGCGGACUAUUAAGUUAGGGGUGAAAUCCCGGGGCUCAACCCCGGAACUGCCUUUGAUACUGGUAGUCUUGAGUUCGAGAGAGGUGAGUGGAAUUCCGAGUGUAGAGGUGAAAUUCGUAGAUAUUCGGAGGAACACCAGUGGCGAAGGCGGCUCACUGGCUCGAUACUGACGCUGAGGUGCGAAAGCGUGGGGAGCAAACAGGAUUAGAAACCCGAGUAGUCCCAUG
rnacentral:rRNA from 1 species